UUUGGUCUCUGGGUGCUCUUGAUAAGACCCGUAAGAAUAUUCUUUCACUAAAACCACUCAAGAAAGGAAGGGAAAAGUGAGAAAAGAAAGAAAGAGAAACGUGUCAAAAUAUAGCAGUUUUGUUUAUUUCACAUGUUAUCAUAAUUCUCAGGAAGAGUUAGUUUCCUUUUCAGAACUCCAUUUAGUGUUAUUUACCUUAAGAGAUGCAUAAAUUUAGUCUCCUACCACUUGAGAAUCGAAUUAUUUACCUUAUUUCACUGAUAUGUCUUUUACCAAUAAUACUGUAAUAAAAUACCAACCUUCAAAAGCAGAUAAUACUUUGAACAUUGUAAUUUUCAACAGUCCCAGUUGAAUGUGGAGCAUGUUUUUCAAGUUCUGUCAAACAUGUCACCAUCUUAACCAAACCAAUUCAUUCUUUUAGAAGUGACUCGUUAUUUAUUAAGCUUUCAUCAGUGGUGAUGAUUUCAUAUUGCAAUUUCAACAUUUCUGAUUUUCCCACUGGUGAUAGGUGCUAAUUGGCUCCAUUUUCUCACCUUCCACUGUAUUGGUAUGGAAACAUCAUUUUGGUAGGAAAUAUUCAAACUCACAUGUCCAAAAGUCUGUAGUUGUUUUCUUGUUCCUGAAAGCAUACACUUGUUCAAAUAUUGAAGAAUCUGGUUGAGUUGUCCUCAUUGCAGAGAGUUAUUAAAAUGUUGGAUUGAUACUUGAACAAGUUGAGUUGAUUAAACUGAUGGCAAUCAACAACAAAAACAAAAGCGUCCCCACAGGAACCAUAAGGAAAUGAAUCUAGAUAGUUCACAAGAGUUGAACAUGUGAUGACUACUUGUCUUCGUGUGGGUUUCUUGUGUCGACACAUGGAAAGCAAUAU
rnacentral:lncRNA from 1 species